GGGUGUUCAUGGGUGUUGGUGGGUGUCUGUGGGUGUGCCUGUGUGUUGGGCAGGUGGGCGUGAGUGAGCAUGUGCAGUCAACUGUGAUGCCAAGGUACGUGAGUGUGUGCUAGGGCAAGUCUAGGCGUCUGUGUGCACGAGCACAGGCGUGAAUGCGUGCACAUGUGAGUGUGCCUGCCCGCCGAUGCCCACAGAUGUGGGGUGCAUUCGGCCCAGCGUCAGCCCGGCGCUUACAUAAAGGCUGCAUUGCAGUGCUCCCAUGGAUUCACUGGGAUUCAGCAGGCAGCACGGCACAGGGGCGGACAGCUCCGAGGCAAAAUCCUCGGAGUCAUGUCCUCCCCCGCAUCGCUGGCUGUCAGCGGCUCUCACGCUGUGCCCUGACGCCUCCCACAAGCACAGUCCCCACUCCCACCCUCCAGAACACCCUGCCUCAACACCUGGGCCAUUUCCCAUCUCAGUCAAACCCAUGGGUGGGGGAAGGAGAGAGAGGAAGGGAAGGUCUAGAAGCAUGGAGACAAAGAUGGCCCCAGGCCCCAUCCUGCUUAAAGACGUGCGCACAGUGCGUGCUUGUGGCUGUGAGCACUUCUGCCCAUAAGCCCAGGACACCCACCCCUCACGGACACAGUGAUGAAACAAACCACGAAUUUCUUGCCUCACGUCUGCACACAGGGCUCGACCUGGAGUCCUGGAGCCCUGGAACCUUGUGAAGACUGACCAGCGUAGCAGAACCUCCCUCGUCGCUCUCACCCUCAGGAUCCUAAUUCUUUGUCCCUACACCCCCGGAGAGUGCUUCACUUCCCUAACUCAAAGGAUGGCUGAAGCUCCGCCCCUGCCAGUGACAUCACUGUUUCCAAUAGCAACUGAGGAUUCUGCAAACCCAACUGCAAAAGGCCCCGGCUGGGAGCUUCAGGCCGGCUAUGGCGGAGGCAGUUACACCCAGG